AUACGGGGGGUGCAAGCGUUAUUCGGAUUUAUUGGGUGUAAAGGGCGCGUAGGCGGCUUGGUAAGUCAGAUGUGAAAGCCCGGGGCUUAACCCCGGAAGUGCAUUUGAAACUAUCAGGCUUGAGUAUGGGAGAGGGAAGUGGAAUUCCUGGUGUAGAGGUGAAAUUCGUAGAUAUCAGGAGGAACACCGGUGGCGAAGGCGACUUCCUGGACCAAUACUGACGCUGAGGCGCGAAGGCGUGGGGAGCAAACAGGAUUAGAUACCCUAGUAGUCC
rnacentral:rRNA from 1 species